UUAUUUCGUAAGUUUUUUAUUGAAAUAUACACUAAAUUUUGUACAAUCUUGUAAAAUGGUAUGAGCAAAACGUUAAAGUUUCCUAUGCAUAGCUCAACAAUCUCACUUAUGGAAACACUUACAGCGAAGUGAUUCUAUGGACUGUACUUUUGAUGAGCUUUUCUUCGUAUUUUCGCUACGCUCACUUACAUUCAUUCGUUGUCACCGUUCGGACCGUUGCUCAUGCUGGCUCAACCGGCCGUUCAACGGCCCCCAUCGUUUCAUUCUACCAAAAGAAAGGAGGAAAGAAAGAAAGAAUAGGUUUGGCGUUCAAAUCGUUCCGUCUAAAUUUAGCGCACGGCCACCAAACGGGGAAGAUAAAAUGAUGCCUGCACGUUGUUGGGGAUACCUUCGUCAAGCUGCCCUUAUUUUUUGUUUUGGUCAUAGAUUCACCAUCUCCCAAAAACUAGAUGGAAAGAAUAAAUAACACUCACAGCGGCAUGCACAUUUACAUUUGGGUGAAAAUGAAAAGUUUUCUGCCUAUCGUGAUUAUUGCCUUAGCUUUCACUGUAAACGCACCUGAGGAAGAAGAAAGGGAUGAGAAACGUUGGAUGUUUUUCACUUUUUUUUUGUUUAUUAAGUUUCAAGUGAUUAAGAAGAAUGAUAUUUAUUUUAGUUUUUCCUUUUUUUAAGUUUACUUUCUGGAGGAUUUUUGUUUCUGGAUGCUCCCUAAGGAUUUUGCUAAUUUAUGAAACCAUCAAACGUAAAGAUUUAUUGCCUCAAAAUGCAAAUGUUGGGAAUUUAUUUUAUACGUUUACUUUACGAUUGAAAUUUCUAGAAAAAAUGCUAAAAAAAGCUGUACUGAUCUGAUUUGCAAAUUAUUUGUAGCAGUCCAAAAACAAAGUAACGUGCAAACCUUGAAAAUAAAUUAUAAAAAGUUAGUUUUUUG